GUGCUCUUCUCUGGCAGCACACUAAAGCUGAAUGGAUACAGACGAGAUAGGCAUGGCCCCUGCACAAGGAUGACACGCAAAUUGGUGAAACAUACUAAUAGCCU
ensembl:snRNA U6 U6 spliceosomal RNA